GAACGGUAGCACAGAGAGCUUGCUCUCGGGUGACGAGUGGCGGACGGGUGAGUAAUGUCUGGGAAACUGCCCGAUGGAGGGGGAUAACUACUGGAAACGGUAGCUAAUACCGCAUAACGUCUUCGGACCAAAGUGGGGGACCUUCGGGCCUCACACCAUCGGAUGUGCCCAGAUGGGAUUAGCUAGUAGGUGGGGUAAUGGCUCACCUAGGCGACGAUCCCUAGCUGGUCUGAGAGGAUGACCAGCCACACUGGAACUGAGACACGGUCCAGACUCCUACGGGAGGCAGCAGUGGGGAAUAUUGCACAAUGGGCGCAAGCCUGAUGCAGCCAUGCCGCGUGUAUGAAGAAGGCCUUCGGGUUGUAAAGUACUUUCAGUGGGGAGGAAGGCGAUGGAGUUAAUAGCUUCGUCGAUUGACGUUACCCGCAGAAGAAGCACCGGCUAACUCCGUG
rnacentral:rRNA from 1 species